rnacentral:piRNA from 1 species
UGCUGUUUGGGUGUUUAUGGAGGCAU